UUCCUUGACUUGAUGCAUGAAUUGGUAUAUUUGUUGACACAUGGUUUAUUUGAACAUGAAAUGUGAGUUGAUAUGCCUGAGGGUUACAAAAAUAUGAUUAUUAAAUGCGUGUGGGAUUGGCCCUUUACCUUACCUUUGGUAAUGGUGAAAAGGGUUAUUCUAGGAGCCCUGAAUUUGAUCCCGAUGGUCAAGUUCGAGUAAUAUGGGCCUUGUGCCAUAUAUGUUAAUGGAUCCCAACCAAGUUUUGGAUAUAUGAUCAUG
rnacentral:lncRNA from 1 species